rnacentral:rRNA from 1 species
AGCGAACGCUGGCGGCAGGCCUAACACAUGCAAGUCGAACGAACUCUUCGGAGUUAGUGGCGGACGGGUGAGUAACACGUGGGAACGUGCCUUUAGGUUCGGAAUAACUCAGGGAAACUUGUGCUAAUACCGAAUGUGCCCUUCGGGGGAAAGAUUUAUCGCCUUUAGAGCGGCCCGCGUCUGAUUAGCUAGUUGGUGAGGUAAAGGCUCACCAAGGCGACGAUCAGUAGCUGGUCUGAGAGGAUGAUCAGCCACAUUGGGACUGAGACACGGCCCAAACUCCUACGGGAGGCAGCAGUGGGGAAUCUUGCGCAAUGGGCGAAAGCCUGACGCAGCCAUGCCGCGUGAAUGAUGAAGGUCUUAGGAUUGUAAAAUUCUUUCACCGGGGACGAUAAUGACGGUACCCGGAGAAGAAGCCCCGGCUAGCUUCGUG